rnacentral:lncRNA from 1 species
GGCCAGCAGCCGUCUACCCGGUGUCGCGUUCUGUGUUGUGGCGGCCCUGGAUCCGGCGUCAGGGCGACCGGGCGGACGAGGUGGAGCCAGAGUCUGUCAGGCGGGUUGGUGAAGGGCGCGGGGCCGGGCACGGCGUUGGGAGUGCGCGGCAGGGACCGGCCAGGCGGGCUGCAGGCACCUCAGAGCCCGGGACACCCCCUCAACGUCCGCAGGCGCGAUGAAGGCACUGAUCUUAGUGGGGGGCUAUGGGACGCGGCUACGGCCGCUGACGCUGAGCACCCCGAAGCCACUGGUGGACUUCUGCAAUAAGCCCAUCUUGCUGCACCAAGUGGAGGCGCUAGCCGCGGCGUGGACCACGUGAUCCUGGCCGUGAGCUACAUGUCGCAGGUGCUGGAGAAGGAAAUGAAGGCACAGGAGCAGAGGGUGAGGCACAGACUCUUGGCCCUUAUUCUCGGUCCCCGCCCAACUUCCCAUCCUGGUAGAACCUGACUGGGGGGGCCUCUUCCUUCCAGCUGGGAAUCCGAAUCUCCAUGUCCCAUGAAGAGGAGCCUUUGGGGACAGCUGGGCCCCUGGCGCUGGCCCGUGACCUACUCUCUGAGACUGCAGACCCUUUCUUCGUCCUCAACAGUGACGUGAUCUGCGAUUUCCCCUUCCAAGCCAUGGUGCAGUUCCACCGGCACCAUGGCCAGGAGGGCUCCAUCCUGGUAAGGCGCCAGGUCUUCUCUCUCUUGACACUUUCACCCUCCAUGCCCAGCCUCCCAUGCCCCCUAGCCUUCAUCUGCCUUCGGAUGUUAUGGAUACAGAGCUGUGCAGUAUGUAUCUUUAAGCACUUGGGGCAGAGUCUCUUGAGAUCUGGAACGGCAUGUGUAUCAAGGCUUAGGAACACUGGACUAGGUCCGAGGUCCCCUUCCUUGCAUUCAGGUGACCAAGGUGGAGGAACCCUC